UACGUAGGGGGCAAGCGUUGUCCGGAAUUAUUGGGCGUAAAGCGCGCGCAGGCGGUUUAUUAAGUUCGGUGUUUAAGCCCAGGGCUCAACCCUGGUUCGCACUGGAAACUGGUAGACUAGAGUGUAGGAGAGGAAAGUGGAAUUCCACGUGUAGCGGUGAAAUGCGUAGAGAUGUGGAGGAACACCAGUGGCGAAGGCGACUUUCUGGCCUAUAACUGACGCUGAGGCGACGAAAGGCGUGGGGGAGCAAACAGG
rnacentral:rRNA from 1 species